rnacentral:hammerhead_ribozyme from 1 species
AUCCUGCUAACGUGUCCCAAAUAGAACGAAACACGUAUCCUGGAU